CCUACGGGUGGCAGCAGUGGGGAAUAUUGCACAAUGGGCGCAAGCUUGAUGCAGCCAUGCCGCGUGUGUGAAGAAGGCCUUCGGGUUGUAAAGCACUUUCAGCGGGGAGGAAGGCGGUGAGGUUAAUAACCUCAUCGAUUGACGUUACCCGCAGAAGAAGCACCGGCUAACUCCGUGCCAGCAGCCGCGGUAAUACGGAGGGUGCAAGCGUUAAUCGGAAUUACUGGGCGUAAAGCGCACGCAGGCGGUCUGUCAAGUCGGAUGUGAAAUCCCCGGGCUCAACCUGGGAACUGCAUUCGAAACUGGCAGGCUAGAGUCUUGUAGAGGGGGGUAGAAUUCCAGGUGUAGCGGUGAAAUGCGUAGAGAUCUGGAGGAAUACCGGUGGCGAAGGCGGCCCCCUGGACAAAGACUGACGCUCAGGUGCGAAAGCGUGGGGAGCAAACAGGAUUAGAUACCCGGGUAGUC
rnacentral:rRNA from 1 species